rnacentral:rRNA from 1 species
UACGUAGGGGGCAAGCGUUGUCCGGAAUCAUUGGGCGUAAAGAGCGUGUAGGCGGCCCGGUAAGUCCGCUGUAAAAGUCCAGGGCUCAACCCUGGAAAGCCGGUGGAUACUGUCGGGCUAGAGUCCGGGAGAGGGAUGCGGAAUUCCAGGUGUAGCGGUGAAAUGCGUAGAUAUCUGGAGGAACACCGGUGGCGAAGGCGGCAUCCUGGACCGGCAUUGACGCUGAGGCGCGAAAGCUAGGGGAGCAAACGGG